AGAUUGAACGCUGGCGGCAGGCCUAACACAUGCAAGUCGAGCGGUAGAGAGGUGCUUGCAUCUCUUGAGAGCGGCGGACGGGUGAGUAAUGCCUAGGAAUCUGCCUAGUGGUGGGGGAUAACGUUCGGAAACGGACGCUAAUACCGCAUACGUCCUACGGGAGAAAGCGGGGGACCUUCGGGCCUCGCGCCAUUAGAUGAGCCUAGGUCGGAUUAGCUAGUUGGUGAGGUAAUGGCUCACCAAGGCGACGAUCCGUAACUGGUCUGAGAGGAUGAUCAGUCACACUGGAACUGAGACACGGUCCAAGACUCCGUACGGGAGCAGCAAGGUGGGGAAUA
rnacentral:rRNA from 1 species